rnacentral:lncRNA from 1 species
AUAGUCUUUACAUUUUAGGAUUAGGAAAUCAUUUUGUAAGUUUUGAAAUAGAGGCAUAGAGAGAUGAUAGAGCAAGAGGGAAGAGAAAAUGAAUCUAAAGGGAGAAAGAGGAGAAAGCUUGAAGAGCUAGAGGGAAGAAGGUGAUUAAAGCUUAGAGGAGGCUAGCUUAUUGGAUUAUGAGGUAAGAAACAAGGUAUUUUCACCAUCUAGAACUUAUGAAUAAUUGAAUCGUUGUGGAUUAUUUGUUUUCUCAUACGUUGAUGAAUUUGUUGAUAAAUUAUGUUUAAUAUUGUGCUCUAAUUAUUGUGGUUAUUUUGAGUAUGUGAAAACAUGUUGUUGAUGCAUGAGAAUCCGUGUUUGAUUAUGAUAAGUUGGUAUUUUUGAGUCUUUAGCUUAAUUGAAUGAAAUUCAUGAAGUUGUUGACGAAUAAUAUUAAAUUCAUGUUCUAUCUUCUUGCUAUGAUAUUGGGUAUGUGAAGGUUAUGUUCUUAUGAAUUUUAAAAGUAAUUAUAUGGUGCUCUUGAGUUUUUGGAAAAAAUGGUUGGAGAAUCUUGAAUUUGGAAUUUUUGAAAAUAAUGUUUUGGUGUGUGUUAAGUGUUUAUAAUGAAGUGGAUAACCUAGGGUAUUACUUUUGAAAGAUUAAAAUGUGUUGGGGUUGAAUUAAGGGUUUUGGAAAUGAUUACUUGGUGAAAAACGUGUUUUGAAAACUGAUUUUUGAAGAUCUGAACUGGUGUAAUCCAUUACACCAGGUGUGUAAUCGAUUACACAUUGUGCCUACCUUCCAGAAAUUUUUUUGAGCUCAGCUCUAGGAUUUUUUCUCCAAACUUGGGAAAAUCGACUUUUUUCACCAUUUGCUGCUUCGAACUGGGUCUCGGUGUAAACACAAAAGUUGUAGAUAUUGAUGUUAGCUUUUAUUUGCCGUUGGUUUUACUAAAUUUACAUUUCUAAAACUUGACUUAUCGUCAAAAUACUAGACAUAUGUCAUGCUGCAUUUUUCAUGAAACUUCAGCAUAACUUUUCAGUGAACCAUGCAACAUCUUUGGAAUUAAUAAUGAGUUUAAGAAAGUAGCUAGAGUAAAUAAUUGAACCUGUAUUUAUGUAAAGUUGUGAUAUUUAAUGAUGUAUAUAUAAUGAUGUGAAAAUAUCGUGUAAUUUAAAUAUGUGAAUACUUGAUUUACACAUGAUGAUGAAUACUUGAUUUUGAUGAAAUAAGUUAGCAUAACAUGAAUGAUUUAACUUGGAAUUUUUUUGAAUAAACAUAGUGAUUGGAAUAAUAUUUAAUGAACUUGUGACUUAAUUCUAAGUUGGAUAUCUAAUGAUCGUGAACUUAUUAGAAGAUUAUUGAGGUAGAAUGAUGUGAUUAUGCAAUGAUGGUGAAUUUGAUUAUGAGAUAAUGGAACACAUUUUGAUAUGAUUAUAUGUUGAAUAUAAGCAAAUAUGUAUUUGAGCAUGAAACUUGGUUUAAGUGAAUAUUGGAAAUAAAUGGACUUUGUGAAUUGUGGAAAAUAUACGAACUUAGUGAACUGAUGAAUUAUGACAUGUUAAGUUGUUAUUAGUUAUAUGAUGAUGAUAAGGUGAUGAAUAAUGAUUGAAUUGGUUAAUGAUAAGUGAAUGAAAUAUUGAUUAACUAAGUGAAGAGAUCUCAUUUAUUGAUGUGAUUAUGAUAAUAUGAUGAUGUUGAUGUGAUAAGCAUGAUGAUAUUGAUGUGAUAAGCAUGAUGAUGUGAAUACGAUGAUGUUGGUGUGAUAAACAAGAUGAUGAGAUUAUGAUGUCAGGAAAAUGGGGUGUUACAGUUCUCAUUUUAUUUCUUUAGACAAUGGAGCUGGUAUAGGAAAUAAAAAGGCACCGAUGGCCCUAAAACUUCCUCGUAACGUUGUUGUAUAUGACUGGGUGGACAAAGAAAUCAUUAUAACCAAGUCCUUCUUUGAUUCAGCUAAUAGGUUGGAGAUAACCUAUCAAGAUAUUGGAUCGUCCCUUGAUGAAUGUGAGGUGGAGGUCCCUGACGAGGAUAAAAGGAUUUGUAGUAAGUCUUAGGGGUGCAUCCCCUUUUUGUAUGACAUCAUGCUCUGAGAGUUGCAAGUGCCAAUGCCUUUAUAUGAUUUUUAAUUUAUGGUGUUAAGUCAUCUGAAAUUGUCCCUUCUCAAUCACAUCCCCUGAGCUGAGCUUUGGUGAAGAUAUUCUAGUUCUGGUGUAAGUAUGAGAAGAAUACUCUUACGAUUAAUCUCUUUUUUAAUUGUUCCAUUUUUAGAGAAAAUUGGUUGGCCCUAAUAAGACACAAGGGUUGAUUACUCUAAAACAAGGUAAAAAAUUCUUUGAAGUCUAUUAUGAGUCUUUAAAGAACUUCAAAAAAAAAAAAUUCUUGGUUACACCUUUGAAUCAAUCAAUCCAUGUGGACUUCUAUGUACUCCCAAAGGUUUUAACAACAAGGCCAUAAGCUCCAAGACUACCAUUUUGGGAGAUUCCUUUACAAAAUCGUUCGAUCAGGGUAAGGAAAUAGUCGGGGAUGGUUACUGCUCGAAUCAGGAGGCUUACAAAGACAAGUUUCCCAAAUAUUGAACGAAGGACCAUUUUUCUAAAGCGUUUGGCGUCUAUAUUUCAAGUAGGUUGGCCUUAACACGGAGGAGCGGAGGGUAAGGUUGUCUCAUAAUUUUGAAGGGUUUCAAGCUCAAGAAGGUGGCCGACUCUAUGAAUCCAAGGGAAAUGAUCUAUAAAACCAGGUUUUGUUGAUACUAAGGUGCUCAUGGCCACCAAAGAUAAAGAAGAAAAAAUAGUAAUUUUUAGUCGUUUCAUGUUCUUUUAACUUCAAGAUAGUUUAUUUAAUACGAUUGUCCUCCUGACUCUUUCCUUCUUUUGCAUACUAUAUUAGCUUCUUGGAAAAAUGGUGGAGAGAAGGAAGACGUUAGGCAGGAGUACUCCUUCC